rnacentral:rRNA from 1 species
ACGAAGGUGGCAAGCGUUGUUCGGAUUUACUGGGCGUACAGGGAGCGUAGGCGGUUGGGUAAGCCCUUCGUGAAAUCUCCGGGCCUAACCCGGAAAGUGCGGAGGGGACUGCUCGGCUAGAGGAUGGGAGAGGAGCGCGGAAUUCCCGGUGUAGCGGUGAAAUGCGUAGAGAUCGGGAGGAAGGCCGGUGGCGAAGGCAGCCCCCUGGGCUGACACUGACGCUCAGGCACGAAAGCGUGGGGAGCAAACAGGA